GACCGGUGUUACCGCUGCGCUACGCUGGAACGUCAGCUCGUGAAAUUUCCUCUUACAGGUCGAAGAGCGUGUUGGUUUGAGAGUUGGGGGGAGGGGGGACCCUUUGGUUUAGUUCCCGGUCUGGACUGCACAUCGCACGCCAAGCAAACGGCGGAUUUGGACUGCCAAAGCGCCUCCUGACUGUAGCCAUCCCCACCGCAGGCAGAGAAACCCCGGGCCACAAACAGGAACGUAUCGAUUGCUCCCCAGCUUUAGAGGGAAGAGAAUAAUCCUUGCCGCCUCAUUAGACCUUCCUUUCAAAUCUGAGCCACACUUGCCAUUGUGAUGGGUCUUGGAGGGGAGCCCAGGAUCCUUUCCCUGCUUCUGGACAGCAAGAAAUCCUAUUCAACACAAGGAAGUUGAAUCCCGUUUACUGUUGGGUAGAAUCGAGUGGGGGAAAAUACCCGAGACCAGAUUCCGAAUUUCAUCCUCAGGAACUACGCUUCCACCCGACAGCGCGUUUGAUCGGCUGGCUGUGGAUUUUAUACUUGCUUCUAAACGUUAUUUUUUUUAAGUUAGCGUGGAGACUGUUUGCUUUUCUUUUUUUGGAAACAGUCGUAGUGUCAGAGACACGUCUUCUCUUUGCAAUGGGACUGAAGAUUUCUUAGCUGCGUUUUGGUCAGGCUAAAUUCUCGGCUUGCCCUCCACCCUGAAGUCUACAUAUAUGAAAUGGGAAAUCGAGGGCUGUUCAGCGCCCUUUGUUACCUGAUGUUAAAUGCACCCCUGCUGUUCAUAGUAAACGCUACAUUUACUGAAGUUCCCAAAGAUGUGACUGUUAGGGAGGGAGAUGAUAUUGAGAUGCCUUGUGCUUUUCGGGCCAGCGGAUCCACCUCUUACUCCUUGGAAAUCCAGUGGUGGUACCUUAAAGAACCAGCCAGAGAACUUGCCCAUGAAUUAGCCAUCAGUGCCCCUGGCAGCAGAAGCAAGGUAACAAAUAAGGAUGCAACUAAAAUCAGCGUAAGUGUGGAUCAAACUGAGUGGUGCACAAUUUUUAUAUGUAUAUGUUGGCUUUAUGACCUCCUACCUCCCCCCAUGAUUUCAGCCAGUUUGAACCCUGGAGCAAUAAAUUUACUUUUGGAGCUGAGAGAGGGUGUGUGUGCACCAUGAGUGGGUGUCCUACUGAGUACAUUGUGUGUGUCAUAUCUCCAUCAAAAUGUUACCAUCCAUUGCUAUUUUAAUUGUCCAGUUUUAUUUGUUUUUCCCCCCUUUCUUUGAUCUCCCUUGAAAAGUACUGGAGGUCAGGUCAAGAUAACUAUGCUUUUCGUUCAGCUGCCUCUGUCCCUGAAAACCCACUUCCCCAGCAAUGUGAAAUUUCUUUAUAGCACAUUACAUCUUAUUUCUGUUGAUUUGGGGCCUGAUCCAGGCACUGGUUUCAAUGGGCGCAAGAGCAGGCCCUUUUAUUUGUUUUGCUUUAAUUCCAUCACUGUCCUUCUUCUAUUUCCACCUGGACAGACUAGCCAGAGAAGAAAAGGGUGUUACGGAAAGUAGGGAGACUCUUGCAACAAUUACACACUGGGAGUAAGAUUGUAGGAUGAGAUCUUUAAUUCAUAGGCUAAUAGUGCCACCGAAAUUAAAGGCAAUCAGUAAAGCCAGCAGGAUUUGAUCCUUCAUCCCAUGUUUGUAACAGGGAAAUCUGAAGAUAGAAGACACUAGAUAAUGGCUAGUGUGUCAGAAUUGGGGAUGGUGGCUGUAGUCUGACGAUUCCACAUGAAGGUAUAUGGGUAUUUUGUGGUGGAUUUGGACAUAAGGAGAGAUACAUCAGUUAAGCUGUGUGGAUUUAAAAGGGUAGGGGAAGUGGUUGGGUGGUAUAUGUUCUGCUUUGGAGAGGUAACAGAGGAAAUUCAUUCUUUUUAGCAGGCGAGGUGUUUGAGUUGGAAGGAUUAGAUGGAAAGGUGGUGUUUCAUUUUGGAGGGAAGAUUACCAUUCAGAUUCUUUUUUAGAAAGACAGUUGGAGGAUUAGUGGCAGGAUGCUGAAAUUUAGAUGGGAGAUGUCUUUCAUUUUAAAAAAGGAUGAGGGCAGGAUGAUUAGCAUUUUAAAAAUAAAUUUAGAAAGAUGGCUCUAUGUAUGAACUUUGGGAAGAGAGGGACAGGAUUAGUGACUCAUUAUUAGAGUUCUGUGGAGAGAUGCCUUUAGUUUGGAAGGGAAGAACUUGAAUUGGUGGCCGGGUUCUUUACAUAAGGGGUGCCAUGCUUACAGUAUUUAUUUAUGGAAGGUAAUGGGGUGAGACUGAGCACAAUGGUUUGUGUGGUUUUGUGUUUGACUCCUGGGAGAGAAGGAAAGAGUUUCAUUUACAUUUGGAGCUGAGGGUGGGGUGGAGAGUGUCCUCCCUUUUGAGUGCAUUGUUUGGAAUUGGUGGAUUCAGUAGCUUGAUGCUUGAGGGGAAUAUGCAUUGCUUAAUAAAGUUGAUUUUGUAAGGCCUGGGAUAGAUUCAGUGAUUUGGUAACUGUGGAAGGGAGACUAAUUUAUUUCAAGGAGGGACUGGAAGGUUGGUUUACAGAAGGAGAAUGAUUUGAUUUUGGAGAGGAGCUGGGGUGAUCUCAGAUGCUAAGUGGGAAGAUACACUAAUUUCUUAGAGGUGAUGAGUGCAGCAAGCUGGAGGGGAGGUGCAUUACUUUCCAGGAGGGGCAGACUUGAGGGCUGAGGCAGGGGAAAGGUACAAGUAGAGAGAUGCUUUGGGGCAGAUACAGGGACAGAUACAUGGGGCACACUGGGGCAGAGACGCAAGGGUGGAGUGGGCUGGCGCGGGGAAGAGAUGCAGGGGUUGCAGUGGGGCAGGUGC